rnacentral:tRNA from 1 species
UUAAAGCCUCUUGCUUACACCAAGAAAAUACCCAUGAAACCUGGAUUAUUUUGA